GACGAACGCUGGCGGCGUGCCUAAUACAUGCAAGUCGAGCGAGCCUGCCUUGAAGAUCGGAGUGCUUGCACCCUGUGAAACAAGAUACAGGCUAGCGGCGGACGGGUGAGUAACACGUGGGUAACCUGCCCAAGAGAUCGGGAUGACACCUGGAAACAGAUGCUAAUACCGGAUAACAACAGAUGAUGCCUAUCAACUGUUUAAAAGAUGGUUCUGCUAUCACUCUUGGAUGGACCUGCGGUGCAUUAGCUAGUUGGUAGGGUAACGGCCUACCAAGGCGAUGAUGCAUAGCCGAGUUGAAAGACUGAUCGGGCACAUUGGGACUGAGACACGGCCCCAACUCCGACGGGAGGCAGCAGUAGGGAAUCUUCCACAAUGGACGAAAGUCUGAUGGAGCAACGCCGCGUGAGUGAAGAAGGGUUUCGGCUCGUAAAGCUCUGUUGUUGGUGAAGAAGGACAGGGGUAGUAACUGACCUUUGUUUGACGGUAAUCAAUUAGAAAGUCACGGCUAACUACGUG
rnacentral:rRNA from 1 species